rnacentral:misc_RNA from 1 species
GAAAUGCGAUAAGUAGUGUGAAUUGCAGAAUUCAGUGAAUCAUCGAAUCUUUGAACGCACAUUGCGCCCUUUGGUAUUCCUUAGGGCAUGCCUGUUCGAGCGUCAUCUAAACCUUCAAGCCCUGCUUGGUGUUGGGUGCCUGUCCCGCCUCCGCGCGCGGACUCACCUCAAAUCCAUUGGCGGCCCCCGCGUCGGCCACGAGCGCAGCAGAAACGUGAACUCGUGAGCCCGUCCGGGCGGCUCCCAGAAGCUACACCCACCCAGUUUGACCUCGGAUCAGGUAGGGAUACCCGCUGAACUUAAGC